AACGAACGCUGGCGGCAGGCUUAACACAUGCAAGUCGAACGCAUCCUUCGGGGUGAGUGGCAGACGGGUGAGUAACGCGUGGGAACGUGCCCUUCAGUUCGGGAUAACCCAGGGAAACUUGGGCUAAUACCGGAUACGUGCGAGAGCAGAAAGAUUUAUCGCUGAAGGAUCGGCCCGCGUCUGAUUAGCUAGUUGGUGGGGUAAUGGCCCACCAAGGCGACGAUCAGUAGCUGGUCUGAGAGGAUGAUCAGCCACAUUGGGACUGAGACACGGCCCAAACUCCUACGGGAGGCAGCAGUGGGGAAUAUUGGACAAUGGGCGCAAGCCUGAUCCAGCCAUGCCGCGUGAGUGAUGAAGGCCUUAGGGUUGUAAAGCUCUUUCGUCCGGGACGAUAAUGACGGUACCGGAAGAAGAAGCCCCGGCUAACUUCG
rnacentral:rRNA from 1 species